rnacentral:misc_RNA from 1 species
UAUCCGUUGGUGAACCAGCGGAGGGAUCAUUACGAGAGAGCAACAGCUCCCCAAACCACUGUGGACGUACCAGCGUACUGCUUCGGCAGGCGGCCCCGGGGGGGUCUCCAGCCCGCCUGACGGCGGGCGCCCGCCGCGAGUACCCUAAACUCUUGCUAUACCAGCCGUCUGAGCAGAAGAGCCGCCCGCGUCAGCGGGUGCGCGAAUCCAGUCAAAACUUUCAACAACGGAUCUCUUGGUUCUG